UACGUAGGGACCAAGCGUUGUUCGGAUUUACUGGGCGUAAAGGGCGCGUAGGCGGCGUGGUAAGUCACUUGUGAAAUCUCUGAGCUUAACUCAGAACGGCCAAGUGAUACUGCUGUGCUAGAGUGCAGAAGGGGCAAUCGAAUUCUUGGUGUAGCGGUGAAAUGCGCAGAUAUCAGGAGGAACACCGGUGGCGAAGGCGGUUCUCUGGGCAUUACCUGACGCUGAGGAGCGAAAGUGUGGGGAGCGAACAGG
rnacentral:rRNA from 1 species